GGGGCGGUAGCUCAGUUGGUAGAGCACCUGCUUUGCAAGCAGGGGGUCGUCGGUUCGAGUCCGAUCCGCUCCA
rnacentral:tRNA from 2 species